rnacentral:rRNA from 1 species
GUGGGGAAUAUUGGACAAUGGGCGCAAGCCUGAUCCAGCCAUUCCGCGUGAGUGAUGAAGGCCCUAGGGUUGUAAAGCUCUUUCAGUGGGGACGAUAAUGACGGUACCCACAGAAGAAGCCCCGGCUAACUUCGUGCCAGCAGCCGCGGUAAUACGAAGGGGGCUAGCGUUGUUCGGAUUUACUGGGCGUAAAGCGCACGUAGGCGGAUCGUUAAGUAGGGGGUGAAAUCCUGGCGCUCAACUCCAGAACUGCAUUCGAUACUGGCGAUCUUGAGUCCGGAAGAGGUGAGUGGAACUCCUAGUGUAGAGGUGGAAUUCGUAGAUAUUAGGAAGAACACCAGUGGCGAAGGCGGCUCACUGGUCCGGUACUGACGCUGAGGUGCGAAAGCGUGGGGAGCAAACAGGAUUAGAUACCCCUGUAGUCC